rnacentral:tRNA from 1 species
GCGGGCGUAGUAUAGUGGUAUUACCCCAGCUUCCCAAGCUGGUGAGGAGGGUUCGAUUCCCUUCGCCCGCUCCA